GGGGUUUCCGACUUGGGAAACCCGGCAGUCGUCAUGGGCUGUCACCCGCUGCUGAACACAUAGGCAGUGUGGAGGGAACGCGGGGAAGUGAAACAUCUCAGUACCCGCAGGAAGAGAAAACAACCGUGAUUCCGGGAGUAGUGGCGAGCGAAACCGGAUGAGGCCAAACCGUAUGCGUGUGAGACCCGGCAGGGGUUGCGUAUACGGGGUUGUGGGAUCU
rnacentral:ncRNA from 1 species